rnacentral:rRNA from 1 species
ACUCCUACGGGAGGCAGCAGUGGGGAAUAUUGGACAAUGGGCGAAAGCCUGAUCCAGCAAUGCCGCGUGUGUGAAGAAGGCCUUCGGGUUGUAAAGCACUUUUGUCCGGAAAGAAAUCCUUGGCUCUAAUACAGUCGGGGGAUGACGGUACCGGAAGAAUAAGCACCGGCUAACUACGUGCCAGCAGCCGCGGUAAUACGUAGGGUGCAAGCGUUAAUCGGAAUUACUGGGCGUAAAGCGUGCGCAGGCGGUUUGCUAAGACCGAUGUGAAAUCCCCGGGCUCAACCUGGGAACUGCAUUGGUGACUGGCAGGCUAGAGUAUGGCAGAGGGGGUAGAAUUCCACGUGUAGCAGUGAAAUGCGUAGAGAUGUGGAGGAAUACCGAUGGCGAAGGCAGCCCCCUGGGCCAAUACUGACGCUCAUGCACGAAAGCGUGGGGAGCAAA